rnacentral:lncRNA from 1 species
GAUGGACGAUCAUGGCUGGCUAUCAAUUUUCCUUAUGCUAUAGCAUCCAACCCAUGAGUGGCGUUAACAUCCUAAUAUAUGUGAUAUACUGAACCGUGAAGAAAUUAUAAAUGUAUGAUCAAUGAGGAUGACUUGCAUAAUGUGUGGCAAGAAAGGUUUUGUGCUACGGAGAGAGGUGGAACUGCAUCAUGGACCUGCAAUUGAAAAGCACGUAGGUGUAUCAAGUAACAACUCUUAACCAAAACUGGAAAUAAAUAAAUUAUAAAUACAAUCUGUACCAGGCCUCGCAAUGUCAUAAUCAUCGUUUAAACA